GCCAUGGAAAUGAAUUCUAGAUGAUCCGAAGUUCUUUGAUUUUCAAGUUGUAUAAUCCCCAUUUCUAUACAUAGAAGCAUUCUAUCAGCACUAGGAUUCUCUCUUGUUUUCAAAGCUUAAACUCUGUCGAACAGUGAUUGUUGAGAUGAUUCUUCAGUUGUCUUCGAUGGUGCAAGUGUGACUGCAACAAUAAUUUGAAAAACUUUGGACUAAAGAUCCGGGUACUCUUUUCUUGACACAGUCAAUUUCUUGUUUUUCUGGUGCUUGGGCUUGGAAGUAGAAUGUUGUAAUCUGCUGGACUCUUCAUCAUCGAGCACCAUAACAAAUUCUUCAGAGGGGUGGGGUUAUUGAACUUUGUCAUUAUUGUCAUCAUCUAACCAGAAGAGAGGUUUAGAGCUAAUUUUGAUCGUUGUUUCUACUUCAUUGGAGUCAUGUUCUUCUAUGUUGGUGGGAGGAGGCUUUGAUGCACCGACAUUUUUUUCCAUAGCUUGAACCCUUUGAACUGUGUUUUCCAUGUCAGACAUCCAUUUUUGAAUUAUGAGGAUGUCAUGCACAGUUUUGGCAUUAUUGAAGGCAGUGGCCUAGUAUAUGGCAACAUGAAGAAUAAAUUUUUCGUUUUGUUGUU
rnacentral:lncRNA from 1 species